rnacentral:rRNA from 1 species
GUGGUAAUGCCGGAUGCUCCGGUUGGAUGCAUGUCCUUCCGGGAAAGAUUCCAUCGGUAUGGGAUGGGGUCGCGUCCUAUCAGCUUGAUGGCGGGGUAACGGCCCACCAUGGCUUCGACGGGUAGCCGGCCUGAGAGGGCGACCGGCCACAUUGGGACUGAGAUACGGCCCAGACUCCUACGGGAGGCAGCAGUGGGGAAUAUUGCACAAUGGGCGCAAGCCUGAUGCAGCGACGCCGCGUGCGGGAUGGAGGCCUUCGGGUUGUAAACCGCUUUUGAUCGGGAGCAAGCCCUUCGGGGUGAGUGUACCCUUCGAAUAAGCACCGGCUAACUACGUGCCAGCAGCCGCGGUAAUACGUAGGGUGCAAGCGUUAUCCGGAAUUAUUGGGCGUAAAGGGCUCGUAGGCGGUUCGUCGCGUCCGGUGUGAAAGCCCAUCGCUUAACGGUGGGUCUGCGCCGGGUACGGGCGGGCUGGAGUGCGGUAGGGGAGACUGGAAUUCCCGGUGUAACGGUGGAAUGUGUAGAUAUCG